rnacentral:rRNA from 1 species
ACGAACGCUGGCGGCGUGCUUAACACAUGCAAGUCGCACGGAAAGGCCCUGCUUUUGUGGGGUGCUCGAGUGGCGAACGGGUGAGUAACACGUGAGUAACCUGCCCUUGACUUUGGGAUAACUUCAGGAAACUGGGGCUAAUACCGGAUAGGAGCUCCUGCUGCAUGGUGGGGGUUGGAAAGUUUCGGCGGUUGGGGAUGGACUCGCGGCUUAUCAGCUUGUUGGUGGGGUAGUGGCUUACCAAGGCUUUGACGGGUAGCCGGCCUGAGAGGGUGACCGGCCACAUUGGGACUGAGAUACGGCCCAGACUCCUACGGGAGGCAGCAGUGGGGAAUAUUGCACAAUGGGCGGAAGCCUGAUGCAGCAACGCCGCGUGCGGGAUGACGGCCUUCGGGUUGUAAACCGCUUUCGCCUGUGACGAAGCGUGAGUGACGGUAAUGGGUAAAGAAGCACCGGCUAACUACGU